rnacentral:rRNA from 1 species
UACGAAGGGGGCUAGCGUUGCUCGGAAUCACUGGGCGUAAAGGGCGCGUAGGCGGAUCUUUAAGUCGGGGGUGAAAGCCCAGGGCUCAACCCUGGAAUGGCCUUCGAUACUGGAGAUCUUGAGACCGGAAGAGGUAAGUGGAACUGCGAGUGUAGAGGUGAAAUUCGUAGAUAUUCGCAAGAACACCAGUGGCGAAGGCGGCUUACUGGUCCGGUUCUGACGCUGAGGCGCGAAAGCGUGGGGAGCAAACGGG